AAUAUUGGACAAUGGGUGAGAGCCUGAUCCAGCCAUCCCGCGUGCAGGAAGACGGCCUUAUGGGUUGUAAACUGCUUUUAUACAGGAAUAAACCAUCUUACGAGUAGGGUGUUGAAGGUACUGUAUGAAUAAGCACCGGCUAACUCCGUGCCAGCAGCCGCGGUAAUACGGAGGGUGCAAGCGUUAUCCGGAUUUAUUGGGUUUAAAGGGUCAGCAGGCGGGCUUGUAAGUCAGGGGUGAAAUCCGGCAGCUUAACUGUCGAACUGCCUUUGAUACUGAAGGUCUUGAGUGGGAAUGAAGCAGCUGGAAUGUGUGGUGUAGCGGUGAAAUGCAUAGAUAUCACACAGAACACCGAUAGCGAAGGCAGGUUGCUAAUUCUCAACUGACGCUGAGGGACGAAAGCGUGGGGAGCGAACAGG
rnacentral:rRNA from 1 species